GAGUUUGAUUCUGGCUCAGGAUGAACGCUGGCGGCGUGCCUAACACAUGCAAGUCGAGCGCGGUUGUGCUUAGUAUUGAGUGUUUUAUUGAUAUAAAACAUUGAAUUCUAUGCACAACUGAGCGGCGGACGGGUGAGUAACGCGUGGGUAACCUGCCCUAUACACAUGGAUAACAUACUGAAAAGUUUACUAAUACAUGAUAAAAUAGUUUUUCGGCAUCGAAGAAUUAUCAAAGUGUUAGCGGUAUAGGAUGGACCCGCGUCUGAUUAGCUAGUUGGUGAGAUAACUGCCCACCAAGGCGACGAUCAGUAGCCGACCUGAGAGGGUGAUCGGCCACAUUGGAACUGAGACACGGUCCAAACUCCUACGGGAGGCAGCAGUGGGGAAUAUUGCACAAUGGGCGCAAGCCUGAUGCAGCAACGCCGCGUGAACGAUGAAGGUCUUCGGAUCGUAAAGUUCUGUUGCAGGGGAAGAUAAUGACGUACCCUNGAGCC
rnacentral:rRNA from 1 species